rnacentral:lncRNA from 1 species
AUUCCCCUGUGGUCUGUUAAUAGAGGCCCAGCAAGGCCAGCCGAGGCUGUCAACUCACCCCCCACUAGGACCCUGUCAUUAGCCACACUCCCCCAACCCUGCCCUUGGGUGGAAGUAUGAUCUGGUGGGCACUGAGGGGCUGGGCCCAUCCAGGCCCCUUAUUAAGCCUUAUUAAGCCCACAGACGGGGAGCAAAAAGGGGAGAAGAACUUUCUCCCAAAGGUCAGCUGUUGGAAAAAGAAGGUACAGAUGUCUCUGGGGUGGUCGUCUACUCUCAGGCCACAAGGAAUGUGAAAGUUUGCCUGGCCCAAUCUGCUCUGCUGUCUUCUUGCAGGCUGGGAAACUGAGGCCCAUACAGGAGACAGGAGGGACACACAGAAGUCGGGACAGAGCCAGACUCAAACCUCAGGCCGGCUCACAGACCAUAGCCCAGCCUUUCCCUGAAACAGCCUCAGCAUCAACAAUGGGGAGGGAAAGGAAUGGGCAUGAAUGGGGCUCCUGCUAUAUGCCAGGCCCUUGAGCAAAGCAUUUUCUGUUCAUGGAGCCACUGGUCUCCUCUGUAUCCCCAUGAGUAAAAUGGAAGUUAUGCCUGUCCUGUCACGGAUUGAACAAGCAUUUGUUAAACAUCUGUUAUACUGUGGGCCAAGCACUGGUCUAGGUGCCAGGAAUAUGGCAUUAACUAGCCAAACAAGGUUUCUGCUUUCAGAGAGCUUACUUUCUAGACAGUGAUAGAGACAGACAAAUAAGUAGGUAGAUAAAAUGUGAUAUGAAGAAAAUUGAGGAGUGGUAUGAGAUGUACAAGGAUGGAAGGGACGUUCUUUGGAUGAGAUGGUUGGGAAGGGCCUCUCUGAGAAGGUGAUCAUGGUCAAGGUCAUUAAUUGUCCACCAAGUCCAUUCUCCCCUUUGCUAGUAUGUGGGCAAAGCCCACAAGUGGCUGUCCAGGCAGGGUCAACAUUUCCCAGCCCUAUUUGCAUGCAGGUGUGGCCAUGUGACUAGCUCUUACCAAUAGAAUGGGAGCAGAAGUGAUGAGUGCCACAUGGAGGAGAGCCACUCAUUGCCCUGGCACAUCCAUUGCAUGAGUGAGAAAUAAACUUCAGGUGAGACCCAAAAGACAUGUGAUGAACUGGUUAGGACAUUGCAGGCAGAGGAAAUAGCAUGUGCAAAAGGCUCAAGGCAGAACCAAGCUUGGCAUGUUGGCACAGAAAGGAUACCAAUGUGGCCAGAAUAAAUGGCACAAGAGGAGGAAAUGAGGUGAACCAUGCAG